rnacentral:rRNA from 1 species
AUUAAACGCUGGCGGCAUGCCUUACACAUGCAAGUCGAACGGCAGCACGGGGGCAACCUUGGUGGCGAGUGGCGAACGGGUGAGUAAAGCAUCGGAACGUGCCCUGGAGUGGGGGAUAACGUAGCGAAAGUUACGCUAAUACCGCAUAUUCUGUGAGCAGGAAUGCAGGGGAUCGCAAGACCUUGCGCUCUGGGAGCGGCCGAUGUCGGAUUAGCUAGUUGGUGGGGUAAAGGCCUACCAAGGCGACGAUCCGUAGCGGGUCUGAGAGGAUGAUCCGCCACACUGGGACUGAGACACGGCCCAGACUCCUACGGGAGGCAGCAGUGGGGAAUUUUGGACAAUGGGCGGAAGCCUGAUCCAGCCAUGCCGCGUGAGUGAAGAAGGCC